CUUAUUAAAGUAUAUAAUCUGUGUGCGUGGCGGUGCGUCACGCCGUGUGUGUGUGUGUGUGUGUGUGUGCGUGUGUUUGUAAGCCCUGUCAAUUGAACCAGUGAAUAAGAAGGCACACGUGUAAAUCAACACGGGGUCGGCCAAAGGAACACGGAAAUGGUGGUGUUCAGUUGGAUUUUUAUAAAAAUCAGCAUAAAAUCAUUAAAUAGGUCAUCUACCAUCAAAAUCCUGAAGUGUUUACUUAACAGGAUUUAUGAGAUGUGUGUAACAGGUGUGUAAAGAUUUAGCACUCGUCCAUCUUUUUUCCUUGCGAGCAUGGCUUACACACUUUCGAAGUGCGCAUGCUCUGUUUUAAAUGACGUCAUUUGUGAUAUCAUCAUAAUGGAGUUUUCCAGGGAAAGAAGUUGGCCCAUCUGAGGUAAGUAAACACGGUUGAAAGAAAUUUUUUGCAUGUUAUCAAUGGGUUUUUUAUUACAUAGAUUGAUUAAAUGGUGUUUCAUACCGAUCGUGUUAUGUACAAGCGACAGAGUACCCGAGUUACUGAAAAUUUCGAUGAUAAAAGUGAUAAAUCUGUGUGAACUGUUUGGGGUUUUUUUCUUUUUGAAAUAUAAUCUUUGCAGUUAAUGUACUCUGUAUACUAAGAAUUCAUAUUGAUUUUGGAUAAAAUUUCACAAAAAGAAAUGCGCCAGGUCCUUAGGAACCAACCCCCCUACCCCACCCCCACACGGCACAUUUUUUGGAUGAUUGGAACGUAUACCCCUUUACAUCUGUCUCCAUACUUUGAAGUUUUUUCCAACGCCAUUACAUAAAUAAUAAAUAGAAAAAUAAAUAAAAAUGCAAAAAUAAAAAAGAAAGAUGUAUAUGUAUUCGGAUUGGCAUGUUCCACUUUGUCCGGGUUGAAAUCCCUGAGGAUGCAAAUGUACAUUACGCCGCACUGCUUGUAGUACGUACAAGGUACAGGCGUACCGCAUAGGUAUGUAACUACUAAGACUAUAAACCAAACAGAAUAUGAUAUGUAAAACUAUUACUCUGAAUGCGUUUUACUUGUUUACAAUGUAGCCUGUCGAGCUGUGGUGUCACACGCGUGGUUUACACGUGCACUUUAGGUGGCAGUGGAGGAAAUUCGAACGAUGUAUGGAUUAUUGUCUCCUGGUAACUUUGGCAGUUACCUUUUGCUUUCAAUCUACUUUUUAAGAAUAAUUCAACCCUCGCUAAUCAUUUCCAAGCUGCAUUUCGAUCUUGGAAGAAUGAUCUUCAGCUACAAUACAAAAUUAAGGGAUGAUGUUGUGUACUGAGUUUUUCUUGAUUGUUUACAUCUGUGAUUGUUUAUGUGAUGUAUAAACUGAUCAAGCUGUACAGUGUCAUGACAUAUAGUGGCAUAGCUUCCAUUUAUAUGCUUGCGCAUCAUUUUGUCAGAAGAAGAAAAUUCUAAAAUUAAGAUUUUUAACAUGUAUAUGAUUAUAUGUGUUUGUUUGAUUUUAGUAUAAUACCUGUAGAGAACAUUUCAGUAAUAUGAAGUGCGACACAUUUAGACGCAUGCAUGUGGUGUUUGAAGGUCUCAUCUGAAAGACCAGCAACUUUCUCUUUUGAAUGCUAAAUAUGACGAUGGAGCAUUCACCUCACUACCUACAUUUACACCCUAAAUAAAGUACAUUAGCAUGGCUCGAAACCAUGAUUUCUUCAUCAUGAAGCAAAUGCUCUGUUACCACUGAGCUACCAAUUUUUUAACAUGAAUUCAUAGCUAAAAAUUUUAAAAAUUUAUAACUAAUUUUUUGGUUAAUUCCAUAAAUAUUAUUCCUCUCUCUAGACACAAUUCAGGGUAACCCCCUGCCUUUGGGGAUAUAAGCACAUCAUUUCUUUCAGAAUGGGACAAUGUGAGGAGAGCUUUUGUUAUUUGUUAUACUCUUAGUGUUGAUGGCAUCUAUGAACAACAGGAUAAUGUUUUUAGAUUAUUAUUUCUGAUAUCAUAUUUGUAAAUUGUUUAUGAGGGGUUGUUAAAGUUUGUGGACAAAAGGACACACUUAUUAAAAAUUCAAAGUUAUGAUAAGUAAAAAAUAUAGGAGAUGUGUAACAAGAUUGUAGAUUUGAACAUUUUAAUUUUAAUUAAUUUUUAUAAGUAUUGAUUUCAGAUACAUGUAUGACAUUGCAUGCUUGAUCGGGGAGGGGGGCUACAGUUAGAUAAUAUUCUGGUCAGCAUAUUCGAUAAACUACAGUUGUACAUGGAACUCAUUAAAUCACUUCUUUUUCUUUCAGUGGUCUUCAACUUUUAAUCUCCAAGAAGGAAAUGUAAUUAAAAGAUGAAUAAAGUAUCCCUAAGAAUACCAGAAGAAAGGCUGUGUUGAGAAAAACAGCCCUUCCUCGGUACCUCAGAACUAGAUGAUAGCCCGUGUUACUUUAUGCUGAAUAUGACACAGUAUAGAAGAUCUGAUCAUGAAGAAGUUACACCAUUGAUACACUUGCCAACUGCCAAAACUACUUUCUGAUAGUAUGACGAGAUUAGAAGAUAUCAUGGUGUAGUCAUGACACAAACUGCAAAUCAAAGAUUGUCUUCCCCAGAGGAUGAACAGAGUGCUUCACAUGGAUAACAUUUCCUUUUCGAGUUUUGAAAUUAAUUUGUCAGAAUGUUAUGCAUCAUGAUCAACAGAAAAAAACUUCACAGGUAGACCAAAGCUGACAUGGGAUGAGAUCCUAAAACGAGACCUAGAGUUUAGAGGAUUGGAUAGGAUCAAUCCACUGGGUCGCCAAGUGUGGAAGUACAAACUUCAACCUCGACAGGACAGCCAGGCCUCACCCUUGCAAAAAUAUUAAUUUGGCCUGGAUAGUCAAAAUGAGUGAUGAUGAUGAUAUCAAGGUCUGACACUGUAAGCUCAGUAAGGGUAGAUGCUGGCAAUGAAGCUGUUAAGCAAUACAACAAACAGGUUUAACAUUGAACAUGUUUAUAUACUUUUUUAGCUCAAAUGAGCUUUUCUGAUCACCUUUGCCUGUCGUCUGUCUCUCUGUAAACUUUUCACAUUUUCAUUUUCUUCUCCAGAGUGAACCACUGGGCCAGUUUCAAUCAAACUUGGUAUGCAUCAUCAAUAGAUAAAGGGUAUGCAAAAAUAGGGUGGGGUCAUUUAAAAAAAACCUUUUCAAGAACCACUGGACCAGGAAAGUUGAAUUCACAUAAAAGGUUCCUGUUUUGUGCAAAUCAUGGUAUCCGGGGGUAGGGUGAGGUCACAAUCGAGGAUCAAAGUUUUACAUUCAUAUAUAGUACAGAUUCAAGUUUGUUAAAGGUCAUGGCUCACAGGGGUAGAGUGGGGUCACAAUAGGGGAUCUAAGUUUUAUAUGUGAAAUAUAUACAAGGAAAAUCUUUUAAAAUCUUCUCCUAAAAAACUAGAUGCAGAACUAAACCCAAAAUCGUAGCUCUUUGAGAAGAUAUUGGGGCAAGUCAGAGCACUAGAGCUUCAGAUGAACCCCUUAUUAAAAAUCUUCAAUUUACGGCACAGAAAAAAAGUGCAUGGUUAAGUCCCUCUAUCACUGCAUUCCUGCAUCGCUGUCUCAUGAAUUUAAUAUUAAAUAAUUCCUAACAUAUUUUCCCACUAUACUUGUUUCCAAGCAUACUUUCAAAUAUUCCUUAAACCCACAUAUAACCUAAAAACCCACAGCUUCAAGUGAUUUUCUUUGUUGAUGUAGCCAUGUUAGGUAUACGUAGCCAGUCAAUUUGAACCCCAGUUCAUUUCCAUACUCGUACUCAUUUUGAAACAUAAUGUCUGUGUGAACUAAUAUCCCCACAAAUAUUUUUAGUGAAAUAUUUUGGAUGAAAUCAUCCCAGUUGGGUUAAAUACUUAUUAUUCAAAAACUGUAGGUUUGAAUAUUGAACUAAUCUCACAGCUUUCUUAAGUUUGGUCCCCAUCCACUCUAGUCUGUUUUUACGCUUAACUAUUGAAAUGGAGUGUAAGGGAUCAGACUAGGCUUUAAUAGCAUUAUCAAUUUUCAAAAGCUUUAGAAAAAUUAUACAAUUUUAGGUCACUUGAGUAAACUCAGAUGACAUAUUGCUAUUGGUCUGCGUCCGUUGUAGUCCGUCGAUGUUAACAAUUGAAUAUUUUUAACUAAAUUCUAUAACUGAAAGGUGAAGAUAACGAACAGCGAUCAAUCUACGAUUCGAAUAACAGAAUUCUUUUCAAAUUUAGUAUGAAGCACACAAAUUUACAUUAAACCUUCCUGACAUAGUGCAUAUUCAAGUUUGUUAAAAUCAUUUCCCGGGAGGUAUGGUGUGGUAACAAUAGGGGAUCAAAGUUUUAUAUGCUGAUAUAUUUAAAGGAAAAAUCGUUAAAGAUAUCUCUUGAACUAUUUAAGCUAGAGCUUUCAUAUCUUGUAUAUACAAUUUUUAUGGCAAAACAAAU